rnacentral:rRNA from 1 species
CUUGGGUCCGGCAUAACCCCGGGAAACUGGGGAUAAUUCCGGAUAACGCAUAUAUGCUGGAAUGCUUUAUGCGUCAAAUGGAUUCGUCUGCCCAAGGAUGGGUCUGCGGCCUAUCAGGUAGUAGUGGGUGUAAUGUACCUACUAGCCGACGACGGGUACGGGUUGUGAGAGCAAGAGCCCGGAGAUGGAUUCUGAGACAUGAAUCCAGGCCCUACGGGGCGCAGCAGGCGCGAAAACUUUACAAUGCGGGAAACCGUGAUAAGGGGACACCGAGUGCCAGCAUCAUAUGCUGGCUGUCCGGGUGUGUAAAAUACACCUGUCAGCAAGGGCCGGGCAAGACCGGUGCCAGCCGCCGCGGUAACACCGGCGGCCCGAGUGGUGAUCGUGAUUAUUGGGUCUAAAGGGUCCGUAGCCGGUUUGGUCAGUCCUCCGGGAAAUCUGACGGCUUAACCGUUAGGCUUUCGGAGGAUACUGCCAGGCUUGGAACCGGGAGAGGUAAGAGGUACUACAGGGGUAGGAGUGAAAUCUUGUAAUCCCUGUGGGACCACCUGUGGCGAAGGCGUCUUACCAGAACGGGUUCGACGGUGAGGGACGAAAGCUGGGGGCACGAACCGGAUUAGAUACCCGGGUAGUCCCAGCCGUAAACGAUGCUCGCUAGGUGUCAGGCAUGGCGCGACCGUGUCUGGUGCCGUAGGGAAGCCGUGAAGCGAGCCACCUGGGAAGUACGGCCGCAAGGCUGAAACUUAAAGGAAUUGGCGGGGGAGCACAACAACGGGUGGAGCCUGCGGUUUAAUUGGACUCAACGCCGGACAACUCACCGGGGGCGACAGCAAUAUGUAGGCCAAGCUGAAGACUUUGCCUGAAUCGCUGAGAGGAGGUGCAUGG